UCCAGUAUAAAAUCAGGAAGCAUACGCAAAGUUAAACUAAACUGUCUGCAGCUACUGAAUAACAUGAUUCUCACUCUGGAUCUUUAUUUCUGCAGGUUUUUUAUUAUAUAUUCAAUGUGAUUUUAACUAUGGAUUGUUCUACAUCUCUCUUCUCACAGACAGAAACACAUAAAGACAGAAAAGUGUGAAAACAUGAAGCUCGUCAGACGGAGCAGCAGCAGUAACAGACCAAACUUCUCUGUUGAUCCAGUCAGAGCUGCAAAGUGUCGUUCUAAUGAAUCAAAUAUGAUCAAACAUGAGUGUCAUGUGAUCCAGAUGAGCCUGUCAAGAUUGAUUCUGAUGUUGAAACUGAGAUUCUCUCAUCAAAACCCUUCAUCAUGUUCUCAAGAACACACAACAUCACUGACGUCCAGAUACCAGCAGCUGAAGACCUGAAAAUCUUCAUCUUCUUCAUCAUCAUCAUCAUCAUCAUUAUCAUCAGAACACAGCACCUGGAUUGUUAAUGUGGAGCAGCGUAUCAAAUGAAAGAAUAAAUCCUUUAGUUUAAAGAUGCUCAUGUGAAUAACUUUUAUAUAGUUGUGUUGACACGACUUUCUUUUCCUCACCUGGAUUCCUCCACAACGUGUGACAUUCUGAAUCAACACUUUAUCAUCUCUAUACUGUAAUGAAAUCGUUGCUUUACUGUGAUUAUUGUUUCUGUGAUGUUAACUACUUUAUGAGAAGUUUUUGUAAAGGAAAUCAAACAUCAUAUUAUUGAAGUCAAACAGUGUUGAUCUAAAGUAUGACUUGUGCUGUUUUGAUAUUAUUGUGAAGGUUUGAAUGAAGAUCUCUUCAGUUCCAGCUUUAAUAUCCUAAAGCAGGCUGUGAUUGUGCUUUUAUUGAUGGAGUUUAUGACAGAAUGACUUUUAUUCUCCAGUUUCUGUCGUUUCACACAGAAGAUCUGUUUCUCUUUCUGACAGAAUCAUUUCUGUUCUUACCAGAGACUGUGUUUCUGAUUCAUCUGUCAGCAGAUCAUCAUGAUGAUGAUGAUGAUGUUUCAUAUCAAGCUCAUCUUCAUCAUCUCCUAAUGGAAGAAUAUAUUCAUAAACUCAUAUCAGUCAUAAAUACACUACAAUGAGUCUCUUUAUAAUACAUUUUCCUCAUUUAAAAGCUACUGAAAGGUGUAUUUUCAUCAUUACUAGAUGUAAGAUCAUUUCAAUUUAACUUUUAACAGUUCAAAACAAUAUCUACUGAGAGAAUAUGAUUCCAGAUGCAGCCAUACUGUUUCCAGAGGUUAAAUUUACAACUCAGUCAAUAAUCUCAUUAUUAUUUGAGUUGAUAACUGAAUGAUAUUUAAAUAAAUUAAACUGAAGUAAUGUCAUAAAUAUGUAUCAGAUUGUGUUUUAUAUUUCUAAUAACACACAGAAUAUUGAGUGCAGUUUCCAUCUCUGUCCACUAGAUGUCAGCAGUAGAUUUGAGGCCUUUAGUUUCAGAUUCAGAGACAGUGAAGAGAAAUCAGAGAUCUGAUCUGAAGCUGAAUGAGGAUCAUCAUGUGUCACAUAUGAAGCUCAUCUGGAUCACAUUAUAUUACAGGAUCAGAUUCAUGAGAUCAUUAAAUAUGAGCAGAUUUUAAAAAAGGACACUAUCAUGAAAACAGAUUGAUAUCAGACGAGUGUGAACAGAAUAAUGUCUGAAAGAUCAUGUGACACAAUGAAGACCGUUUGAAUGUGUAGUUCUGCUGUGAUGGAAACUAUGGACUCAUAUUCAUGAUAAUGUUCUGCUGACAGAAGAGAUUCAAUAAGACAACAAACCUACAAUGAUCAAUAGAGAAAUAAUAGAGAAACAGGUGGAGAAAUAGAAAUCAAUCAUCUGGAGAAUUCAUCUAAUCUUCACAG